rnacentral:rRNA from 1 species
UACGGAAGGCAGCAGUGGGGAAUAUUGCACAAUGGGCGCAAGCCUGAUGCAGCCAUGCCGCGUGUAUGAAAAAGGCCUUCGGGUUGUAAAGUACUUUCAGUCGUGAGGAAGGUGUUAAGGUUAAUAACCUUAGCAAUUGACGUUAGCGACAGAAGAAGCACCGGCUAACUCCGUGCCAGCAGCCGCGGUAAUACGGAGGGUGCGAGCGUUAAUCGGAAUUACUGGGCUAAAGGGCACGCAGGCGGUUAAUUAAGUUGGAUGUGAAAUCCCCGGGCUUAACCUGGGAAUGGCAUUCAAGACUGGUUAGCUAGAGUCUUGUAGAGGGGGUUAGAAGUUCCAUGUGUAGCGGUGAAAUGCGUAGAGAUGUGGAGGAAUACCGGUGGCGAAGGCGGCCCCUGGACAAAGACUGACGCUCGAUGUGCGAAAGCGUGGGGAGCAAACAGGGAUUAGAU